GAUGAAGAACGCAGCGAAAUGCGAUACGUAGUGUGAAUUGCAGAAUUCCGUGAACCAUCGAAUCUUUGAACGCAAAUUGCGCUCGAGGCCUCGGCUAAGAGCAUGUCUGGCUCAGCGUCGGCUUACUACCCUCAAUCAAUUACCUUGUGAUGAUUGGUUGGAGCUGGCUUUCCGGUGUUCCAAUCAGGUUGCCGGUCAGCUGAAAAACAUUCACGCUGUGGAAGUCGCUUUCCCUUCAAAAAGGAAAGCCGAGUUCCGAUUUGGUAGGUGACCUUUGCCGGUUGCAUGCCUUCGUUGCUCGUUUUGGCUUUCAUGAUAGCGUGUGCAGGACGCCAUUUUGGCUUUCGACCUGAGCUCAGGCAAGAACACCCGCUGAACUUAAGCAUAUCAAUAAGCGGAGGA
rnacentral:misc_RNA from 1 species